rnacentral:lncRNA from 1 species
AUGUUGACAUUUGUUUCAGAGAUUAUAAGAAGAGAAAUGGAAAACAGCAUCUGAACCAGGAAAGGAACCUCAAAACAGCUGCUGGCCACUGAGCAGCUGUUGAACAAGGAUCUGACUAUUGUUCAUCUCUCCCCACCCCCCAGCAGAUGCCACUACCUUAAAUAGCAAGUAAUAUGGACUCUGCAGUGGGUAUGACAAACAUCCUCAUAGUGGAGCAAGACACAUCACCACUAACGGGCAUGCAUCUCCAAGAAAAGAAGCAAAAUAGUUCCAGGAUCCCUGACAUGCAUGCACUUCAGUGUGGAUCUUUUACCAUCUUUAUGGCAAGGCUGACAGCUAUCUUUGGAAACAGCGAGCAAUGAGGCUUCUUAAAAAAAGAGCCCGAGGCCGGGCACGGUGACUCACGCCUGUAAUCCCAGCACUUUGGGAGGCCGAGGUGGGCAGAUCACCUGAGGUCAAGAGAUGGAGACCAGCCUGGCCAACAUGAAGAAACCACGUCUCUACUAAAAACACAAAAAUUAGUAGGGCGUGGUGGAGCGCACGUGAAAUUCCAGCUACUCAGAGGCUGAGGCAGGAGAAUUGCUUGAACCCGGAAGGCGGAGGUUACAGUGAGCCAAGAUAGCGCCACUGCACUCCAGCCUGGCAACAGAGCAAAGCUCUAUCUCAAAAAACAAAAAAAAAGAAAGAAAGAAAGAGCCUGAGUCUGUGUUCUGAACUCCUAUAUCCCUCACACUGAUAUUUUCUGGUCCAGAGAAGGUGCUUAAUAAAUGGUUCUUAAAUAGGUGUAAGAUUAUUAAUAACAAAAUAUGUAAUAUUGGU